rnacentral:rRNA from 1 species
CCUACGGGUGGCAGCAGUGGGGAAUAUUGCACAAUGGGGGGAACCCUGAUGCAGCAACGCCGCGUGGGUGAAGAAGUACUUCGGUAUGUAAAGCCCUGUCAGCAGGGAAGAAAAUGACGGUACCUGACCAAGAAGCCCCGGCUAACUACGUGCCAGCAGCCGCGGUAAAACGUAGGGGGCAAGCGUUAUCCGGAUUUACUGGGUGUAAUGGGAGCGUAGACGGCAAGGCAAGUCUGGAGUGGAAGCUCGUGGGUCAACCACGGGACUGCUUUGGAAACUGUGGUGCUGGAGUGCAGGAGAGGUAAGCGGAAUUCGUAGUGUAGCGGUGAAAUGCGUAGAUAUUAGGAGGAACACCGGUGGCGAAGGCAGCUUACUGGACUGUAACUGACGUUGAGGCACGAAGGCGUGGGGAGCGAACAGGAUUAGAUACCCCAGUAGUC